GAUGAACGCUGGCGGCGUGCCUAAUACAUGCAAGUCGAGCGAACAGACGAGGAGCUUGCUCCUCUGACGUUAGCGGCGGACGGGUGAGUAACACGUGGAUAACCUACCUAUAAGACUGGGAUAACUUCGGGAAACCGGAGCUAAUACCGGAUAAUAUAUUGAACCGCAUGGUUCAAUAGUGAAAGACGGUUUUGCUGUCACUUAUAGAUGGAUCCGCGCCGCAUUAGCUAGUUGGUAAGGUAACGGCUUACCAAGGCAACGAUGCGUAGCCGACCUGAGAGGGUGAUCGGCCACACUGGAACUGAGACACGGUCCAGACUCCUACGGGAGGCAGCAGUAGGGAAUCUUCCGCAAUGGGCGAAAGUCUGACGGAGCAACGCCGCGUGAGUGAUGAAGGUCUUCGGAUCGUAAAACUCUGUUAUUAGGGAAGAACAAAUGUGUAAGUAACUAUGCACGUCUUGACGGUACCUAAUCAGAAAGCCACGGCUAACUACGU
rnacentral:rRNA from 1 species